CCUCGUUGUAGAUUCGGAUACCAAUUCAACACAACUUCCCGCCUUUACAAAUCACUUAUCUACAAUGAAAUGUUUGGCAUCUAGUAUUAGCAACCCAACACCACAAUUCUCUUCCAUAAUUCCAUACUACCAAUAUUUGCAAAACAUUCCAAAAACCAACUUGAACAAUAGGUUUAUGUGUGUAUAUAUAUAUAAUCAUCAUUUCAAUACCACAUCAUCAAUACCACAUCAUCACCCCAAAUUCCUUCACAAUUUAACAUAAUCCAACCAUGCACAAGAAUAAUCCAACAUCAUUUCCAAUCAUCUUUCAACAACAAUCAAAUAACAUACUUCUUAUGCUCACAUGCAUAUAUAUAUAUAUAUACAUAUCCAUAUAAAUAACACCAACAUAAUUUACAUCCUUACCAUAAAAUGGCCCUUUUGAUUUCGAAGUCCUGUUGGCACAAAUAAGGGGUGCUUCUCGAAGCCCUUGAGACGGUGAACACAACUACGGAAUCAAUUUGGAUUUUCUACGGUUGAAUCACAAGAUAAUUGGAGUUGAACUUAGGCUAGGGUUUCUUAUU
rnacentral:lncRNA from 1 species